AAUGGAAAUGAUGCUAUCGAUUUGCAUGUAACUGCAUGCAGUGCCGCUGGUUUAAGGUUUGAGCUUUGGUUAAUUUGUGCUGGUGUUGUAGCGGUUAUCUAUUAUUAUUAAGGGGUUUAAUCAUAGACUACGUACCAUAAUGCGCAAGUGUAUGUGCGCGCUCUUGUGAAACUUAUGUGAACUUGAUUAUCUACGUGCAAUUUCAUUACUUUGGACUUUGGACUACUGUUAUCUAUGUGCAACUUCAUAACUUUGGACUUUUUUAUAUAAGUUGGGUGUUUCUUAUAUGGAUGAAAUACUCCUAUGUAAAUCAUCUUCUUCCUCCGUCCCAUAAUGUAAGAACGUUUUACAUUAUGGAUGAAAGGAGUAUAUUGAAAUAUAAAGAAUGAGAGACUUGCUAGGCACAACCAAGCCAGCCACGUCGCCCUUGCCUCGCCAUGAAUAGUACGAGGGGGCAGCGCGGCGAGAGCGGGCAGCGGCAGGGAAAAAAGAGAGGAAAAUAUCUCCCUCCUCUUCCCCUCCCUCAUGGCCGCCUCGUCUCCUCCACGCCGCCGCCGCCGCCAUCGCCUCCCUCCUGGCCGCCUCAUCUCCUCCAUCUCCUCCUCCCUUGCCUGCACUGCUACUCCUCCACCCUCACUUCUUCCUCCUCCUCGCCUUCCCAUCGCUCCCGCGCAGGUCGCCAUGCGGCAGGGGUGGGAUCGGGCGAAAAACAGUGCCGCCACUCCUCUCCCCUCCAGCGUCGCUCAUCUCUGCCUCCUCCCGCGCGCCCUCCCCCUCGCCGCCGCCACGACCUCUCCCGCCGCUCAUAUCCACCUCCUCCCGCUUGCCCUUUCGCUUCCCUUGCCGCCGCCACGACCCAUAUCCUCUGAGCAUGACGCCUCCUCUUCCCACUCCUGCCCCGCCUUCGUCCUAGCGGACACCUCCUCCUCUCCUCUCCCUUGCCGCCUUCCCACCUCUCCUUGUCUCCUCGCGGCGGAAGGGAUAGACGCCGGCCCCCUCGCGGCGGCCACCUCUCUUCGUCUCCUCCCAGGUUCUCGAUCUGGAGUGGAAGGGAGCCUUGGCUCGUUCUUAUCUCUGUCAGGCAGGUGAGCUCCUACUUCCUCCCCCUGUCUCCCUUUGAUUUUGUGAUGGCGUUGUACUGUGUGUUUGUGUUGUUGCUUUGUCAGCUAUGGCUACUACUUGUGCUACUAGAUGUGUGUGCUGCUGGUUCACAAAACGGUGGGACACCAUUUCACCUCACACCUUCUCCCAUUCCAGAUCUGAAAGUAUUUUGAUUCAGUUUCCUCUAUAUGUUUUCCCAAUUGAAUCAGGUCUUGGUAUAACCAAGAGGGGAUUGAGGCACGUAAUGAGGUCAGCAGGCUUUGUUCUACAGUUUUCUGCUAGGUAGUAGAGCUCUAAAUUCUAUAUAACUCUUCGUGUUGACGAAUACAUCAUUCUGAAUUCUUCUCAUGGAAGUUCCAUAAAGGCCAUAAUUAUUCAAUUUAGCGUACUACUUCGGAUGUAAAAUUUGAUUGGCUGGCCAACCACACCAAAAGAUGAAUAUUAACAUGAAAUUUUGUAUAAGCAACUUUCCACAUUAUUUGGAUGCACUUUCUGCAGAUAAUAUUUCUGGAGACAAUAUUUAAUAAUCGAAACACAAUUGAAAGGAAUGUACGCCUGAAAUUCAGCAAAGCCCUGUUUAUGCUGACCAGUUAGAAACCAACUCCCUCAAAAUUCGCCCUGUACUAGAAAUAUAGUAUUCAUAGUCUUAUUUCUAUGUAAAAUUUUGUAGGACGGAUUAUGAAGCUGGAUUGCAGGACUUCCUUUGAACGUUUGACAAAUUAUGAAAAGGUCUCAAUGCUCAACAAGUUAUAUUAUGUUCAGUGAGUUGCAUGACGACAAUGUUAGAAUCCUUACCAUUUAAACUUCUGUAUGCAUGAACAGCUGAACACUCGAUACAAUAAUUUAGUCUUAUCCGGUUAACACUAAAGGAAAUAUGCCCUAGAGGCAAUAAUAAAAUUAUUAUUUAUAUUUCCUUAUAUCAUGAUAAAUGUUUAUUAUUCAUGCUAGAAUUGUAUUAACCGGAAACUUAGUACAUGUGUGAAUACAUAGACAAACAGAGUGUCCCUAGUAUGCCUCUACUUGACUAGCUUGUUUAUCAAAGAUGGUUAUGUUUCCUAGCCAUAGACAUGUGUUGUCAUUUGAUGAACGGGACCACAUCAUUAGAGAAUGAUGUGAUGGACAAGACCCAUCCGUUAGCUUAGCACUAUGAUCGUUUAGUUUAUUGCUAUUGCUUUCUUCAUGACUUAUACAUGUUCCUCUGACUAUGAGAUUAUGCAACUCCCGAAUACCGGAGGAACACUUAGUGUGCUAUCAAACGUCACAACAUAACUGGGUGAUUAUAAAGAUGCUCUAUAGGUGUCUCCGAUGGUGUUUGUUGAGUUGGCAUAGAUCGAGAUUAUGAUUUGUCACUCUGAUUGUCGGAGAGGUAUCUCUGGGCCCUCUCGGUAAUGCACAUCACAAUAAGCCUUGCAAGCAAUGUGACUAAUGAGUUAGUUGCGGGAUGAUGCAUUACGAAACGAGUAAAUAGACUUGCCGGUAACGAGAUUAAACUAGGUAUGUUGAUACCGACGAUCGAAUUUUGGGCAAGUAACAUACCGAUGACAAAGGGAACAACGUAUGUUGUUGUGCGGUUUGACCGUUAAAGAUCUUCAUAGAAUAUGUAGGACCCAAUAUGAGCAUCUAGGUUCCGCUAUUGGUUAUUGACCGGAGAGGUGUCUCGGUCAUGUCUACAUAGUUCUCGAACCCGUAGGGUCCGCACGCUUAAUGUUCGAUGACGAUUCGUAUUAUAAGUUUAUGUGAUUUGAUGUACCGAAGGUUGUUCGGAGUCCCAGAUGAGAUCACAGACGUAACGNNNNNNNNNNNNNNNNNNNNNNNNNNNNNNNNNNNNNNNNNNNNNNNNNNNNNNNNNNNNNNNNNNNNNNNNNNNNNNNNNNNNNNNNNNNNNNNNNNNNNNNNNNNNNNNNNNNNNNNNNNNNNNNNNNNNNNNNNNNNNNNNNNNNNNNNNNNNNNNNNNNNNNNNNNNNNNNNNNNNNNNNNNNNNNNNNNNNNNNNNNNNNNNNNNNNNNNNNNNNNNNNNNNNNNNNNNNNNNNNNNNNNNNNNNNNNNNNNNNNNNNNNNNNNNNNNNNNNNNNNNNNNNNNNNNNNNNNNNNNNNNNNNNNNNNNNNNNNNNNNNNNNNNNNNNNNNNNNNNNNNNNNNNNNNNNNNNNNNNNNNNNNNNNNNNNNNNNNNNNNNNNNNNNNNNNNNNNNNNNNNNNNNNNNNNNNNNNNNNCGGCCUCCUCCUCCCUCCCUCCUUUAUAUACGUGGGAGGGGGGCACCCCAUAGAUACACAAGUUGAUCUUUAGCUGUGUGCGGUGCCCCCCUCCACAGUUUUACACCUCGGUCAUAUCAUCGUAGUGCUUAGGCGAAGCCCUGCGCCGGUAACUUCAUCAUCGCCGUCACCAUGCCGUCAUGUUGACGAAAAAUCUCCCUCGGCCUCAACUGGAUCAAGAGUUCGAGGGACGUCACCGAGCUGAACGUGUGCAGAUCGCAAAGGUGUCGUGCGUUCGGUACUUGGAUCGGUUGGAUCACGAAGACGUUCGACUACAUCAACCGCGUUACUAAACGCUUCCGCUUUCGGUCUACGAGGGUACGUGGACACACUCUCCCUGCUCGUUGCUAUGCUUCUCCUAGGUAGAUCUUGCGUGAUCGUAGGAUUUUUUUUGAAAUGCUACGUUCCCCAACAAACAUAGUGUUAGUUAAGAACCCAUGAUAAGAACAAUUACUUUCUGUUGAAUUACUGGGCUAAAUAUGUUCCUUAUUUUGCAAUUACCAGGUUCAAAAGCUCAUGAAUGCUAAUUCAACCGAGGUUGAUUGGGAGCGUUCCUUCUAUUUGAAUUUAGUCGCUCAGACGUCAUAUACUGCCACGAUGGCGUUGUGCAGGUAUGUUUCUGUGGCACUUCUGCUGAGAUCUUACAAGCUUUGUAUGCUCUGGACAAUUAGCUAUAACUGCAUAAGAACAACUAGAAACCUUUUCGGGUGAUCUAUUGAGGUGUCACGCUUGUGUGCGAAACACUAGAGUAGAGAAAUAUAUCCAGGAGGCACCAUUGUAUAGAAGAGGCAUAAUAACGGUGGCGCAGAGUGCGUGUUUGUUCAGCGUGGAUGUGGCCGUGUGAUAAGCUAUAGGUUGUUGAAAGAGCUAGUGAUCGACUAGAGGGGGGUGAAUAGGCGAUUUUUAUGAAAGUCUUCAAAACAUGGGAGUUUCGAAGACAAACAAUAAAAAUGAACCUAUUGACAUGCAGCGGAAGGUAGACUACACUAGGAAAGCCAUAGUCUAGUAUUCAAUGAAGUGAAAGCACGAAGACUAUUAGCAGCUAGGCAGUAUGGAUCAGGAUGGAAGAUAGUAUGAAGCCAAUCAGAACAAGUGGUCACGUAGUGAAGUCAAACAGAUAAAGCAAGCAGACAAUGACUUCACGAAGACAAACUGUAAGUAAAGAGAAAGAAGAGAUAGAACCAGUAGCUUGGAGAGGACAGUGAUUUGUUGGACCAGUUCCAGUUGCUGUGACAACUAUACGUCUGGUUAGGGAGGCUGAGAUUUAACUCAGAAGACCGCGUCUUCACCUUAUUCCCCUUGAGCCAAGGACACUUAGUCCUCACCCAAUCGCUCUGGUAAGUCUUCAAGGUAGACUUCCAAACCUUCACAGACUUCUAUCACCGGCAAUCCACAAUGACUCUUGGAUGCUCAGAACGCGACGCCUAACCGCCUGGAGGAUUCAUAGUCCUCCAGUGUAACAAGUCUUCAGAUCACGCGGACAGAAAGACUUCAGUGAUGCCAAAUACUCUUUGGGCUCUGGGUGUUUUGGGCUUUGUCCUCGCAAGGAUCUCUCUCUCAAAUGCUUCGGAGGUGGGUUGCUCUCAAACGACAAAAGUCGUGCACUAACUCUGAGCAGCCACCAAUUUAUGUGUAAGGGGUGGGCUAUUUAUAGCCAGGAGGCAACCCGACCUAAUUUGUCCGAAAUGACCCUGGGUCACUAAGGAACUGACACGUGUUCCAACGGUCAGAUUUCAAACACACGCGGCAGCUUAACUUGGGCUACAAGUAAAGCUGACUCAUCCAGCUCUGGAUAAGAUUUGCUCUCAUUGUCUUCGCUCGAAGACAUAGGAUUUAGUUGAGCAUCACUUCAGUCACUCUGACUUUGUUCACUUGGACCCCACUUAAUAGUACGGUGGUUCCUAUGACUCAACAAAGAAGAAAAGGAAACUACGAAACAACUAUGUCUUCACGCUCCAAAGUCUUCAUGCGAUGUCUUCUCAUGUCAUAGUCUUCCAUGUGAAUAUCUUCACAGACCACCAUUGUCUUCAAUGUCUUCACACAUUUUUAGGGGUCAUCUCCGGUAGGUAAACCGAAUCAAUGAGGGACUACUACCUGUGUUAUCCUGCAAUUCUCACAAACACAUUAGUCCCUCAGCCAGGUUUGUCGUCAAUACUCCAAAACCAACUAGGGGUGGCACUAGAUGCACUUACAAUCUCCCCCUUUUUGGUGAUUGAUGACAAACUGGUUGAAGUUUUCAACGGGGAUAAAAGUAUGUGAAAUAGUAAGGAUUGAGAUAUUGUCUUCAUAAGUAGCAAAAAGGCUCCCCCUGAAGAUGUGCAUAUAAGUAUUUUGCUCUGGAAUGCAAAUGCACAUGGCAGGUUGUACUUGUGGAGAUCCUCUUCAAUUUGAGGUAGAAGCAUAGAAGAGGUUAGGGUCCGAUCACAUUCACUUAGAUCAAAAGAUUCAAGCAAGAAGACAUAGCUAUAAGUGAAUGCUGUAGAGGACAGAACACAGUAUAUGUAUAUAUCUGAGUAAGACCAAAUCAACAUCGUGAAGAUAAUCAUGAAAUCAAAUCAAAGUUGAAGACAAAUCAAAUGCAAAGACUUUGCAAUUGUAACGCCAAGAUAAACACUUCAAACAAAAGUUUGGUGGUGGCAUUACCCACCGUAUAGGAAGUAUUAGACCCAGACAUGGCGCACAAUUAUCGCGGCGCUUCGAAGUCAAAUUCCGCAUUAAUGUAUUCACACUCAGAGUGUAAGUCUUCAUGGAUUGAAGAUAUACGUUACUUUGUGUGUUGCACAUCUAAGUCAUCAAUAUGCAUAAAUGUUAGGAUGUGUGUCGAAUCAUAGGACAUUUGAGGAUUCCAAGAUAUUUAGCUCACACCUCAACUUGCAAAACCUUUUCUCAUCCAAGGGCUUUGUGAAGAUAUCUGCCAAUUGCUCUUCAGUGUUGACGUGAAUGAUAUCAAUAUCUUCCUUCAUGACAUGAUCUCUGAGAAAGUGAUGACGAAUUUCAAUGUGCUUUGUCUUCGAGUGUUGAACUGGGUUGUUGGCAAUCUUGAUGGCGCUUUCAUUGUCGCAGUAGAGUGGCUGUGGCACCCCGGCUCAGAGCGACCGGUUUACCAUGCAUUGCCAGCACAGAGACCCUGUCUUCUGGCAACACACAACAUCUUGGUACAGAAAACAACCGCUUUAUUGAAGCUAGCGGAUCAAAGUUUAUAUUACAACAGGUGUCGAGGCCAAGCGGCACACACGGUGCGGCUGAACAAUAUGUACAUUAUUUAGUGAACAUAAAGGGGCCUCGAUCACAAUAACUACGCGACAGUGGAACAACGUCGUAGCGGAAACUCCAUAGCACAGGGACACCGAUGUGGACACGAUCUAGACUCGAACAGCACUCCUUUCCAAUGGAACUUCCCUGAAAUCUGGCAUGCAAGCCAGGUCAGUACAUUGAAUGUACUUGCAAGCUCACAACAAGCAUAAACAUAAUGACAAACAAUAUCAUGAUAAUUAACCAAUUAUUAGUAAUGCAACAAUGUAACCAACAUGCUGUGAUCACGCUCUUAUGGGAACAGUCCCUCGGACUAGCUUACCAACGGUGGUCGCUUCUGGGUCACAAACGUACCAACCACAUGAUCUCAGCUAUGGAUACCUCGUGAUCAUUCCGGCGAUCACAACCACGACCAAUAUUUGGUCUCAAACAGUGAUCCUUCCGGCGAUCACAACCACGACCAAUAUUUGGUCUCAAACAGUGAUCCUUCCGGCGAUCACAACCACGACCAACACUUGGUCUAAACCAACAGGAUGACCUUCCCGCCAUCCUAAUCAGUGCAAAGUUCAUGACUUAGUGUGCAAGAUUAAUUAAAUGUUGACCCAUGGUGUGACCUACUUUCGAGGUGUCCGUAACCGUGGACUCGGCUAUCGAUAGAUUAAUACACUCUGCAGAGGUAGCGCACUGUACCCACACCACGGAACCCAUGGCCUCGUACUCCCAUUCGGGUGGACCAACGGCAUUCCGACGAAACCCCUCCAUUGCCAUGACACUCUCUCGGCCACUCCGACCCACUCCCAACUGGGCUAGUCCUUGGUGGCCCCGUGUCUACCAAAGACACAACGACCACCGUCGUGGCCAAAACAUAAACGUCCCUCACGGGGACCGGUACGAAAAUCUCAACAACGGGCACACAAGGUUAUGUCUCCUUACCGGGCCAGGGUACCGCACGCCCAUAACCAUCCCUCGUUGGAGGCACCGACCAGAGGCAUGACAACGGACCGAAUAAAGGCCUUCUCAUAAAGGCAAAUGUGGUUGCACUAGGAAAACUCGAUUCAGUGGCACCAUGACCCGGUCAACGAUGUAUUCAAGUUGUGUUAUUAUCAGGUUCAACUUAAAUUGAAAAUAACCGGUGUCAUAGCAUGCCAUGAAAUGCAACACUAACAUAUGCAUCACAUAUUAACGGAAAUGACCGAGUCAACUAACUCCACACUAACCAUAAACAUCAACAACUCCUCAUACUUUUCUGGUUAGGAUUAAACCUCACAUUAAACAUAAUCUUUUCUAACAAAUUUUAUCAUUUUUCUCAUGCAAGAAAAUAACUCCAAUUAAUUACUUAUAUCUAUAACCAUAUUAUUUCUAUUAUAGCAAGAUUUUAUUCUAGUUUCUUUACCAACUAAGUUAGCUACAAACUUUCUGUAAAUCAAGCAUAUUAACUUAAACAAGCACUUAACAGAAUAUAAAUAACAUAAUAGUUAGUUAUAUGCAUGGAUUAAAUCAUUCAUUCAAGUGGAAAAAUAAAAAAUAUUGCAGUGGCAUCAUGAAAAUGUUGCUGUGGCUUGCCUUAGUGCAGAUGAGGUUCACAAGCCUUCCGGUGAUCCUCAAGACAAGCUUCACUCUCUGAAAAUAAUUUUAAACACAAGAAGAAAAUAUCAAGAACCCUUCUGAAAUUCACCAGAAAAUCUAGACAGCAUAGAAAAAUCUCAUUUUUGGUGAGCUGCUAGAUUUCUUUGCAAAGAACACAAAGCAAAAAGAAUCAAUUCAUUUGGACUUAUGGUUGAAGAGUUAUAGCUGUUUGAAGCUCUCUGGAAAAUAUAUGAAUUUGAAUUUAAAUAAAACAGACNNNNNNNNNNNNNNNNNNNNNNNNNNNNNNNNNNNNNNNNNNNNNNNNNNNNNNNNNNNNNNNNNNNNNNNNNNNNNNNNNNNNNNNNNNNNNNNNNNNNNNNNNNNNNNNNNNNNNNNNNNNNNNNNNNNNNNNNNNNNNNNNNNNNNNNNNNNNNNNNNNNNNNNNNNNNNNNNNNNNNNNNNNNNNNNNNNNGGGGGGGGGGGUGACGUCGAAGGCGUAAAGCCUCGGGGCGCCACCACUCGUACCGCUCCGCGCGCGCACUGAGUGGCUGACUAGCGGGCCCCGCUAGCCAGGUGAGGUGGAGGGGGAGAAGGAAACAGAGAGUGGCGCGGCUUCGCCGGAGCUCACGCCGGCGGCGAGGGCUCCUUGGCCAAAACGAGAGGGAGGGAUCGAGAGAGGAGACGGAGGCGCACCUGCCCGUACCCGUAGAGUAGUUAGGGGUGGUCGGACGACGUCGGAAUCGUCCUCUCUAGCGCAGACAGGAAGCAGAGCUCGCCGGAGACGAAGACGACGGCGAGCAGAAGCGACUCCAGGGGCUCCAACUGGGCGGAACGGCACCACCGCAGUGUGGCGGGGGCUCUGGAAGGGUCGCCCAGGCCUGGGAGGGGCUGGAGCUACCGCGACGACCCGAGGGGAUCGCCGGCGAGGUCGAGCUCGGGGACGGCGGCCCGUGGCCUGCCCGGCCGGGCUACGGCUAUCCACAAGUUUGUGGANNNNNNNNNNNNNNNNNNNNNNNNNNNNNNNNNNNNNNNNNNNNNNNNNNNNNNNNNNNNNNNNNNNNNNNNNNNNNNNNNNNNNNNNNNNNNNNNNNNNNNNNNNNNNNNNNNNNNNNNNNNNNNNNNNNNNNNNNNNNNNNNNNNNNNNNNNNNNNNNNNNNNNNNNNNNNNNNNNNNNNNNNNNNNNNNNNNNNNNNNNNNNNNNNNNNNNNNNNNNNNNNNNNNNNNNNNNNNNNNNNNNNNNNNNNNNNNNNNNNNNNNNNNNNNNNNNNNNNNNNNNNNNNNNNNNNNNNNNNNNNNNNNNNNNNNNNNNNNNNNNNNNNNNNNNNNNNNNNNNNNNNNNNNNNNNNNNNNNNNNNNNNNNNNNNNNNNNNNNNNNNNNNNNNNNNNNNNNNNNNNNNNNNNNNNNNNNNNNNNNNNNNNNNNNNNNNNNNNNNNNNNNNNNNNNNNNNNNNNNNNNNNNNNNNNNNNNNNNNNNNNNNNNNNNNNNNNNNNNNNNNNNNNNNNNNNNNNNNNNNNNNNNNNNNNNNNNGAGAGGAAGGCGACGAGUACAGUGCAGAGCGCACUGUUGCGUUGGCCGGACCGCGCCCGUGCUCGCUGCGGCGAGCUCCGGCUUCGGCGAGUGCCAGGGGAGAGUUAAGGGGGUUUGGACGAAGAUGGUGGCGAGGUUUGGCACGCUUUGGCAGUCGGGGAAGCGAGCACGCGCGAAACAGAGCGCUCGUCGGCACUCAGAGCGCGUCGACACGCAGGCUGCCAUCGUGUACACGCGUGGUCACCGCGUGAACUUUGCCCCCAGGCCGACCUAUGUCCAAAGUUCAUGUCUGGCUUGUUGUUCGUGGUAGUUGUGAAGAUUACCACGCUUUGGUUUGGAUCCAGACGCAGUAGAAAAGAUUUCACAAGCCAAGUAAGUUUCUGAUCAGAAACUUUGAGAUGUUACCGAGGUCAAAUGGCUGGGAGUUAGGAGCUGGGUUUUGGAGGCUAGCAAUCAUCUACUAAGGUGAUGAUGCACAAGAAAAAUCAGCCUGAUUGGAGCAAGUAAAAUGGUAGUUGCUGUAGAAACCACCAUUUCUGUCCAGAACAGAAAAUAUUUUCUAUAGCAAAAAUAUUCCAAAAAGUCUUGCAAUAUUUUUGCUUAGCAGGAAGGUGCCCUAGGGUUCAAAGAAUAUUUGUGAAUUUUGUCAGAUUUUUGUGGGCAAGAAAAAUUGGGGUUGCUUUGGAGCACAUUGAGCUAGCUAGGGUUUUGGAGAGGGAAAUGAUAUUUUUCAUUUAAGAAAAAUAUUCCAAAUAUUAUUUUGAGGUGAACCAGAGAGAGAAUGAUGAUUAGAGAGUGAAAUGAGGCACUUGGGUGAAAGCCAAGGGGUACCCAAGUGUUUAAGUCCAUAUGAAAAGAUUCAAAAACUCAAAAUUUCAAAACCAAUCCAAAUGAAAAUCAGGCAAAUAAAGGAGGGCAAAAACCAGGCUGUCACAAACCUCCCCCACUUAGAAUGAAUUUCGUCCUCGAGAUUCGGUUGCUUGGGAAAACCAUUCGGGACAAUGUGCCCUUAGAAAUUCUUCUCGUUCCCAAGUUGAUUCUGACUCGGUGUGAUGCUCCCACUGGACUUUGUAGAACUUCCUCACUUUACUGCGAGUGACCCUUUCCAUCUGAUCCAAAAUUUUAACCGGUCUCUCUUCAUAUGUUAAAUCCCUUGCCAACUCUAUCUCGGCCAUAGCAGUCCUUUUCUCAGGCGGCGAUAUGCAUCGCCUUAACUGUGAAACAUGAAACACGUUGUGCACGUCUGACAAUUCUGGGGGUAGUUCCAACUGAUAUGCAACAGUACACACUCGGGACAUCACUGGAAAUGGACCAAUAAAUCUGGGUGCCAACUUUCCACGAGUCUGGAACCUCUUGACUCCUUUCAUAGGAGUGACUCGGAGGUAUACAUGUUCUCCGGGUUCAAAACUGAUCCGUCGGUGCUUUGCAUCAUAAUAACUCUUUUGUCGAGAUUUGGCCAAUUGCAAUCUGUCUCUGAUUUCCCUAACUUGUUUCUCAGCUUCUAUCAUGAGAUUUGUUCCGAAAAUGCGGCUAUCUCCAGUUUGAGACCAAUUUAAAGGAGUGCGGUGAUGAGGACAUAGACCUGGGGUAGGGUAAUAGGCCUGACCUAUACCUCCUACCUUAGGUCCUUGUCCUAGAAGCAAAGAGGUUCAAGAGUAAACAGAGGGGACCCAACAAAGGUGUCGAGUGUAAUCCACUCGACCUACCAUUCACUCGAAGACCCCCCUUUGUUUCUGUCACUCGACCACUAAACCACUCGACGUGCAGAAGACCUAAAGACACUCCGCGCAGCAAUGGUCGGGCAUUUACCCUUAGACUUAAUAGUCAUUUAUAUUACUUUACUACAGACGUUACCUGUAAUGCUCCUGCUUUAUGAACAUUGAACUCCUUGUAACGUGGGCUGGCCGGGGUCCUGGCACACUCUAUAUAAGCCACCCCCUCCACUGGCACAAGGGUUCGCACCCCCUGUAACACACACGCAUAUAAUCCAGUCGACCGCCUCCGGGCUCCGAGACGUAGGGCUGUUACUUCCUCCGAGAAGGGCCUGAACUCGUAAAACUCGUGCGUACAGCUUCUCCAUAGCUAGGACCUUGCCUUUACAUCCCUACCCCCCAUUCUACUAUCAGACUUAGAACCACGACAGUUGGCGCCCACCGUGGGGCAGGUGUUUUAGCGACUUGUUGGAGAAGUUGCAAUUUUUCCGAUCCCCAUCAGCAUGGUUUCAGGUGGAGGAUUGACCGAGGGCCGCGAGAUCCGUCUCGGCGCGCUCGUGUUCGUCGCAGACGGCUCCGCUUGGCUCCAAGUGGCUCCACUCGACGUCGAGGUGCUCCCCGUCUGCGGGGCAACGCACUUUCGCACGUGCGUCCGCGGCGUCCUCCUGCGGCAGCCGUCGACCCAGUAUCGGUCGGCUCCUGUGGCAUUUUCACUCCCUGCAGCCCGCCGACACAAGCGUUCCGGUCGGUCGAGACUCCAGUCGGCCACCCCUCAAGUCGCGGCAAUCGAGCCCGACGAAACUCUCUACGGCCUGUUCGACUGGCUCCGUUGAGACCGCAUCCGAGUGCGACAGCAGUGACCCUGCGGCGGAAGUCCUGAUGGUCAACGAACCGCGCAGUCCUCCUGGCUUCCCCCGCGUCGACGGUGGUGAUGGCGGAGGCGAUCCGUCGCGUGCCCAUGAGGAGUACCGCCCCGAGCCCCUCUCUUCGCAGCAGAGGGAAGAGCUUCGCCGCCGUAACAUGGAUGCACUUCACACUCCUAUCGUUGGAGAAACCCCCGAGGCCCGGGCCUUGGAGGAGGUGCGCCUGGCCAACUUGGCGGAGCGCACUCGACUGGAGAAUCUCCAGCACGCACUCGACGAGCGUGCUCGGCAGUGAGUUCCUGAAUCCAGUCGACGUCAACUCUUUCCGCCUCCAACCCAGGUAUAUCGAACUCCGAUCCAGAAUCUCACAGCUGCUGCCCGAAUAGCAGAGUCGAUUCAGCCUUCCCAGUCGGAGGCUGGUAGGGGUUUGAUGCAGAUCCGGGCUUUGCUCCAGGCGGCGGGGGAGCAGAACACAGCUGUGUCACAGUCUCGGAAUAGGAUUCAUAGUAGGUCUGUGAUGGCAGAUACAGUUCAGUCGGCUCACAGCCCGAGAUCGCCUCCAAGACGUGAGGGACGUGGAGAUCGACAGGAUCAGUAUAGGAACCGUGAGCAGUACGAUCGUCGUCGAGUACCCACGCCUCCCCCAAGGAGUGGGUCAUACGCGGCUUGGCAACACGAUGACAGACGCCCUCACAGUGGUGGGCAAAGGAUUCCAGUCGACCCCCGGGAGCCGGGCUUUGACGCGAGAUCCAUUCUCGUUCAAGGUCUAGUUGACAGGAACAGAGCACACAGAGAUGGCCACGAUAGAGAUUACCCGACCGGCAGCAGGGUGCAUGUUUCAGGUCCCGAGUGUUUCAGCAGAGCCAUCAGAGCAGCAGUGAUUCCUCCCAACUUCAGGUUGGCGACUGGAGUCAGCAAGUUCACUGGUGAAUCCAAGCCUGACACUUGGCUUGAAGACUACCGAGUGGCUGUGCAGAUUGGUGGUGGUAAUGAUGAAGUGGCCAUGAAGCACCUUCCUCUGAUGUUAGAGGGCUCGGCCAGAGCGUGGUUGAAUCAGCUAGCACCUAGCAGUAUUUAUAGCUGGGAAGAGCUUGCCCGAGUAUUUGUCAAAACAUUUGAAGGUACAUGCAAACGGCCAGCAGGGCUGACAGAGCUACAGUCUUGUGUGCAUAAGUCGAAUGAAACUUUGAGAGAUUAUAUCCAGAGAUGGAUCACGUUGCACCACACGGUGGAGAAUGUGUCUGAUCACCAAGCAGUUUGUGCCUUCAAGGAAGGCGUCAAGUAUCGGGAAUUGAAUAUGAAAUUCGGUCGGACCGGAGAUAUGUCUCUGAGUCGAAUGAUGGAAAUUGCCACCAAGUAUGCUAAUGGUGAAGAGGAGGAUCGACUCCGGAGUGGCAAGCACAAAACAGUCGCCCACGAAACCGGGGGAGGGAACUCCAGUCGGAAGCAGAAGCGCAAAGCCGAGCCAGCUGCUCCCGGAGAAGCCUUAGCCGUGACUCAAGGAAAGUUCAAGGGGAAGCCCAAAGGGCCAUGGAACCCCAAGAAGGUAAAAGAUCAAGAUGGAAAUGAUGUGUUGGAUUUACCGUGCCACAUUCACAUCAAAAAAGAUGAGGAGGGUAAUCUCAUUUACCCGAAGCCCAAAGAGAAGGAGAAAGAAUCAGACAAGGUUGAGGAUAAGGAAGAGGACGAUGAUGGUUACCCCCACGUCAAUUCAACUCUGAUGAUUUUUGCUGAUGUUGAGAGCAAAAGUCGACUGAAAGUCAUCAAUAGAGAAGUGAACAUGGUCACCCCAGCGACGCCCAGUUAUUUGAAGUGGUCUCGGACUGCCAUUACAUUCGACCAGUCUGAUCACCCAACACACAUAGCCACCCCUGGGAGGCAAGCGUUGGUGGUCGACCUAGUUGUCGAAGGCACUCGGUUGACUAAGGUUCUGAUGGAUGGUGGCAGCGGCCUGAAUAUACUGUAUGCAGAGACCUUGAAGGGAAUGGGCAUUCCGAUGUCCAGACUCAGUGAAAGCCAUAUGAGUUUCCAUGGAGUUAUUCCUGGCAAGAAGGCUGAAUCACUCGGCCAGAUCGCCCUCGAUGUGAUUUUCGGUGAUUCCAAGAAUUACCGCAAAGAAAAGUUGACGUUUGAAGUCGUCGAUUUCCAGAGUGCUUAUCCUGCUAUCCUGGGCAGGCCGGCUUAUGCACGUUUUAUGGCUCGACCAUGCUACGUGUACCUCAAAUUGAAGAUGCCUGGUCCCAAAGGAGUGAUCACUAUCACUGGCAAUCGGAAGAAGGCAGAAGAGUGCUUCCAGAAGGGCUCAAAGAUCGCCGAUGCACAAAUGGAAGUAGUGGAAUUGCAAGAGUAUCAGAAGAACGCAUAUCCGAGUGAUUUGUUGCGAGCAAAGAAGCCUGCCACGGAUUCAGCAUUUCAGUCAUCUGGUGAAACGAAGCCGAUUCAUAUUCACCCGACCGAUCUCAAUGCUGCUCCAACUCACAUUCGACAACGCUCGACUCCAAAUAGGAAGAAGCGCUCAUCCAGUUCCUCCGUGAGAACUGGGACAUCUUUGCAUGGAAAACUUCUGACAUGCUGGGUGUUCCCAGGGGGCUGGCUGAGCACCGUUUGUGAGUUAACCCAAAAGUGAAACCAGUCAAAGAACAUCUUCGACGGUCCGCCGUACAGAAGAGAAAAGCGAUCGGUGAAGAAGUAGCUCGGCUCCUAGCAGCUGAGUUUAUCCGAGAGAUUUACCACUCCGAGUGGCUAGCCAAUGUUGUCAUGGUCCCCAAGAAGGAUGACUCACUUCGCAUGUGCAUUGACUUCAAGCAUAUCAAUCGGGCCUGCCCGAAAGAUCACUUUCCUCUACCCCGCAUCGAUCAAAUAGUCGACUCGACUGCCGGGUGUGAGCGCUUGUCCUUUUUGGACGCUUAUUCCGGGUAUCAUCAGAUCCGACUGUAUGGACCCGAUGAGAUAAAAACAGCUUUCAUCACUCCAUUUGGGUGCUUCUGUUAUGUCACCAUGCCAUUCGGCCUAAAGAAUGCUGGAGCUACAUUCAUGAGGAUGAUUCAGAAGUGUUUACUCACUCAAAUCAGUCGGAAUGUGGAAGCAUACAUGGAUGACAUUGUGGUCAAGUCACGUAAAGGUUCGGACCUGCUGGCUGACCUUGCUGAAACUUUUGCCAACCUCAGAAGGUAUGAUAUCAAGCUUAAUCCAUCAAAGUGCACAUUCGGAGUUUCGGGCGGAAAAUUACUCGGUUUUCUUGUUUCCGAACGAGGGAUCGACGCUAACCCAAAGAAAGUUGGUGCCAUUCUCCGAAUGAAACGCCCUGUGCGUGUGCACGAUGUUCAGAAGCUUACAGGUUGUUUGGCCGCCUUAAGUCGAUUCAUUUCUCGCCUUGGUGAAAAGGCAUUGCCUCUUUACCGACUGAUGAAGAAGUCUGAUAAGUUCGAGUGGACUCCUGAAGAUGAUGCAGCAUUUGCAGAGCUCAAAGCCCUGCUUUCCACCCAGCUGGUGCUUGCUGCCCCAAUCAGCAAAGAGCCUUUACUACUUUACAUUGCAGCCACUAGACAAGUCGUCAGUACAGUACUUACGGUCGAGCGGGAAGAAGAAGGAAAAGCCUAUAAAGUUCAGCGCCCAGUAUAUUAUGUUUCUGAAGUUUUGACUCCAUCAAAGCAAAGAUAUCCACAUUAUCAGAGGCUUGUUUAUGGGAUUUAUAUGACCACGAAGAAGGUUGCACAUUAUUUCUCUGACCACUCCAUUACAGUCGUCAGCGACGCUCCAUUAUCAGAGAUUCUGAACAACAGAGAUGCAACUGGUCGAGUGGCAAAGUGGGCGAUUGAACUUCUUCCCUUGGAUAUCAAGUUUGAGGCAAAGAAAGCUAUCAAGUCCCAAGCAAUAGCAGAUUUCCUCGCCGAGUGGAUCGAGCAGCAACUGCCGACUCAAGUCCACUCGGAGCACUGGACCAUGUUCUUUGAUGGUUCCAAGAUGCUGAAUGGUUCCGGUGCUGGGGUGGUACUGGUAUCCCCCCGAGGAGACAAGCUCAGAUAUGUUCUCCAGAUUCACUUUGAUUCCUCAAUUAACGAAGCGAAAUAUGAAGCACUUUUAUAUGGGUUACGUAUGGCCAUCUCACUCGGCGUCCAUCGCCUCAUGGUCUACGGCGACUCAGAUUUGGUAGUCAAUCAAGUGAUGAAGGAGUGGGACGUCAGAAGCCCAGCUAAAUGGUUGUUGUUACUUUUGUUUACGUCUGAAAUCCCCCAGUGGGUGACUUUGCCGCGAAUCCGUUUCGCCUAAGUUUGAAAAAUCCUACCGAGUGGUGAGCAAGCCUCUCACUCGGGGACUUAGCCGCAAAUCCGUUUCGCCUAAGUUUGUAAAAUCCUACCGAGUGGAGAGCAACCCUCCCACUCGGGGGCUUAGCUGCAGUCCAGUACUCACCUAAGUUUGAAAAAUCCCACCGAGUGAUGAGCAAGCCUCUCACUCGGGGGCUUAGCUGCAGUCCAGUACUCGCCUAAGUUCGAAAAAUCCCACCGAGUGAUGAGCAAGCCUCUCACUCGGGGGCUUAGCUGCAGUCCAAUACUCGCCUAAGUUUGAAAAAUCCCACCGAGUGAUGAGCAAGCCUCUCACUCGGGGGCUUAGCUGCAGUCCAGUACUCGCCUAAGUUUGAAAAAUCCCAUCGAGUGAUGAGCAAGCCUCUCACUCGUGGGCUUAGCUGCAGUCCAGUACUCGCCUAAGUUGGAAAAAUCCCACCGAGUGAUGAGCAAGCCUCUCACUCGGGGGCUUAGCUGCAGUCCAGUACUCGCCUAAGUUUGAAAAAUCCUACCGAGUGGUGAGCAACCCUCCCACUCGGGGGCUUAGCUGCAGUCCAGUACUCGCCUAAGUUUGUAAAACCCUACCGAGUGGUGAGCAAUCCUCCCUUUCGGGGGCUUAGCUGCAGUCUAGUACUCGCCUAAGUUCGAAGUCCAUCCCUAUCCACAAGGACGACGAGGUGCAGGUCGACGAGAACCUUCUCCUUCGGAGCUGCGCCACAAGUACAAUGUGCGCUCCAUCCCUAUCCGCAAGGACGACGAGGUGCAGGUCGACUGCAACCUUCUCCUUCGGAGCUGCGCCACAAGUACAACGUGUGCUCCUGCCCUAUCCGCAAGGACGACGAGGUACAGGUCGACUGUAACCUUCUCCUUCAGAGCUGCGCCACAAGUACAACGUACGCUCCAUCCACUACAAAAAAAUACACUUCCGUGAUGAUACAUGUUUGUCACAGUAGGUCGCGUUUUCUAUCAUGCAUGUACAUCCAUGACAAAUUUAUGACAGAAUCAAGAUAGUCAUACCUGUGCUGUCGUAGAAGUGUUCCAUGACAUUGCCAAAAUUAUCAUCACGGAAGUGUCCACUUCCAUGACGAUAAAUCGCGCGUCACAGAAGUGCUUUUGUCAAGGGUGACCGACACGUGGCAUCCACCGUAACGGAACGCCGUUAAGCUAUCGGGUCGGAUUUUGGAUCCGAUAACCCGUUAACAGCCACGACCAAUGCCGAUUUUCCACGUGUAAAAUUCUCAUUGACUGACGGAUCCACGCGUCAGCUCCGCGUUGGCACAGGUGUCACUCAUCCAACAGUCGAGAUGGGCCUAUGAUAUGUUGACACGUGGACCGGCCCAAAAGUGGCCCAUAAUGUUUAAAUGGGCCGGCCCAACCGAAGGCCCAUAAGAUUUAGCGGACCAUAAUGGGCCGGCCCAGCUAAAGGCCCACAAAAUUUAGCGGACCAUAAUGGGCCGGCCCAGCUAAAGGCCCACACGAUUUUGCAGACCAUAAUGGGCCGGCCCAACUAAAGGCCAAGAAGAUUUUGCGGACCACAAUGGGCCGGCCCAGCUAAAGGCCCGCAAGAUUCUGCAGACCAUAAUGGGCCGACCCAGCUAAAGGCCCAACAUUCUCUGUCAAAUCGGCCCGUCAACGACCUGUCCUAAACUUGUCAUCAACGCAGCCCAUGGUCACUUCUGGCCCGUUAACAGUCCGCUAAGUAAUUGGGCCGAAUUAUGGCCGGGUGUAUUUCUGGCCUGUUAAAGGUCCGGCUUCAUUUGGGCCCAUUUACAGGCCAUAUCUGACAUUCGGCCUGUUAGAGGCCCACUAUAGCUUUGGGCCACUUUCGGCCUGUUGUCAUUUUUGACCUGUUAACGCCGGACGUAAACCAUGGGCCAUAUGUGGCCCAACGUCAUAUCGGGCCCAUUAACGGCCCAUAUAAAAAUGACGAUAAUCUAGCCCGACCGAAGUUCCGGCCUAUUAAAGGCCCGUGUAUUAGGUCGGCGCAUUUACGGCCCGUCCGAAUUUCGGCCUGUCAAAGAUCCGCAUCGUAAAUGGGCCACCAUUUCGGCCUGCUAAGUCCAGUGGGUUAUUUGGCACAAUCAGGGCCCAAUCUCACUUUCGGUCUAUUAAAGGCCCAUGUUUUUUAUGGGCUCGAGAUAUUUACACCUGUAAACGGCCUAUUUUUACUGAGGGCCCAAAUUAUGUUUAGGCCUGUUAAAGGCCCACUAUGGGCACAGGCCUACCAGAAAAAUAUGAAAGCUUAUGCUGAUUUAGGCCCGGAUAUUUUUAGUGGGCUACAUGCCAAUUUCGGCCCGUAAUUGUUUUUAGCCCAAUUGGAAUGGGCCCGACGAAUGUUGGCAUGUUGGGCUCCUACGAAGCUUUCGGCCGAAUACAUUACUAAGAUAAACCUGCACUAUACAAAAAUAGCGUCGUAAUUACUGCAGCCUGAGGCAGCAUCAUAAAUGUUGUAUCACAACAAAAUAAAUUCCAACCAUACAACAAAAGGCCUGUUGGCAUAAAGUUUACAGUCCUUCCAGAUAAAAGCACCAUCAGAUGUAUAGAAGCACAGAUCAUUUGACCCGAGUGCUAAUGUUUCAGGCUGUAGAAUCUGAUGGAGCAGCAUGAUCUCCACCUUUUUUCCGCCAUUGCUCUUGAACAACAAAGCGAAUGUCUGAUAGUCUGGUUUCAAAACCAUUCAUAUCUUGACGACAUUUCUCAACCACUAUUCUUGUUUCCGAAACAACGUCCAUUAGGGAUUGGACUUGUGUCUGGAGCACAGAUAUAUCACUCUGUCUAGCAGGAAGAUUUUGUUCAGUAGGCGAUUUGGACGAGGUUACCUUGACAACCAACCCAGAAUUACGCAGGAAGGUGCUUUUUGCACUGUUAGUGGAGAGAUACUGACGCACUGCCACAAGAGGUGACAUUCUGCCUAUAGUAGCCUCGUCACCUUCAGGUGGUUGUGGCUGUUCAAUCAUUUGUUCCAUAGCUUCCUGAAAGUUUGAACUUGUAGAUUAGUGUACCAGAUAUGUUACUAAUGAGACAAAAACAAACAAAGUAGGUUAAACGUUUAUACAUAACUUAUUUUGGUGAACUACUGUAAUACAUUAGCAUGUAUUGUAGUGCCAACUACAUAAUAAAAUCACUUUCGGAACAUAUGUCCAUGUAGCAUGCCUACCGUAUUGUCUAUUUCCUCACAUUCGUUGACAUCUAAGGAUAAAGAGACAUGGUUUAAAGUAGGACGAACAUAGUAUGACAUCAUUCAUAUCAUGGGCAAACAGAUAUAAAACAAACAGGCUAUUUUAUCAUUGUGUGCGCAUGUGAACAUAACAACUAGAUUACAUAUAAAGACCAAAAGAAUAUCCUUCAUCUCUUUUAAACCAUGUAAGGUGAAAUGAUACGUUAAGACAACUGUGAAUAAAAGUGAACAGAGUAACUGACAUUGGCUGCAAACCAAGUAGUUAAAUGAACACAUCACAGUACCAAUCAGUUCAAGGCAGGAGGAGUAAGGACUUACAACAGCGGCUUGAACUGGUGUGCUCAUGCCCUUCAUCUUACUGGUGUGGCAAUCCUUGAAGAUUUGCACCGCAUUCGGUUCAGGUUCUUUUUGGUCCGCACGGGCUUUCCUCUGUAUUUGGAACAAGUCAAUAGAUACGAUAAUAUGGCACAAAAAAAAGAAGGAAGUAUCAGCUAUUUACAAGAGCCUCGCAGUGUGCAAUAUAGCUACGAGAUCCUGUUGUCUGUUGGAAUUUCACUUUAGAACGGUUGGUUUUGUUCUUCAAACAGUUAGCCUAGAAGAAGAUACACUUGUAAGGCACAUACAUAAAUACAAGUUCAAUAUGUGGUCUGAUCAAAUACAUAUAGCCUACUUGAUACUUUGGAUCAGACCAGUGUUUAACAAGGGCUGUCCAGUCUUCAUCUGUAAUAUAUUCCACUGGAGAUGUUUGGGCGAUUUCAUUGUUAGCCAUGCCUUCAAAGUGAGAUUUUCUAAGGUGGUACCGAUACUCUCGCAGAGCAGACUGAAAACAUGAGUGCAUGCUUGUUUAGUUGCAUCAUCUUUCGGAUCCAACUUGAACCUCAUCUGUUGAAAAAAGAAUGUGAGUCUUAUUAGGAGGAAGCUAGAAAGUAUGGGACAGAGCAAGACAAUAUUACUAAUUGCGAUGAAUAACAUUACUUACGGAUAAAUGGUCAAGGAAGGUGUUAAACUGGGUAUUGUCUUUCUCAUUCCUGUACUGGAUCCAUGUUGGGAGGAUACGUGCAUGACACCUAACGGCAAUGGCUGCCUCUGAUACUAACUUGGCUGACUCUGUAGCAUCACGUGGCCUUUUUAAACCUGCCUCAAAAUGGAUCUCCAUUCUUCCUCCUUUAGAUUUUGUUAAUCUGUCAAGCAUUAUCCCUGAUGUCUGUUUCCGCUUGCGCCGUGGUGCUAGUUCAACAACGAAUAUGGAAAGUGUUAGUGUACAUCAAACUGUGAGAGUACAUAUAAAGGAGCAUGCAACUGCAACUUGACUCGGUCAGGUACCGUCUUGGUGUUGAUGCUCAUGAGGUUCAUCUGAUCUUGCCAAGUCCUGUUGUGUCAGCAGUGCUUCGGAAGUAGUGUUAGGUGUGAAGGCAGCUUGGGAACUGGCCAGUUCUGGAGCAAACGAACGAGUAACUGGUUGAGAUGCUGGUACAGUUGAAGCGGAUGCUACAGCUGGUGGAGCAGGUGAUACUGUGUUUGUAGAUUUAGCCGGUGGACUUGGACCUUCUACUGCACUAUAAGUACCAGCAGCAUCUCGACGGCAGAACCUUUUCCGUUUCACCCGACGAGUAACAGCAGUCCCUACUAUAUUAUUUUCCUUGCUCUUUUUUGACUUUGCCAUGUCAAGCUGUACCCACAACACAAAAGAAUAAAAUCACUCUUCAGAACUCAUUGAUGCAUGAUACAGACAAGCAAUACUUUGAUGUAAGACAACCGUAUGAGGAUGGAAUAUGUAAGAAAAACAGGACGGCAUGACAUAUUCACAGCUACGAUGUGCAAACUAAGCAGAAGGAUUUUUAAGAAAAUGGAAGUAAUGCAACCUAGACACCAUAUAAAAGAUGCAACCAAUAUUACUCUGCCAAGUUAAAAGUGUCUUGUCAUAAGUGGCAAUUCAAAAAAUUAGAAGCAGUACAACGUAGAAAUCAAUGCAAGAUGCAACCACUAUCAAACUGCCAUGUUAAAAGCGUCCAAUCAUGAGUGACUGUUGCGGGAUACACAAUAGCAGUACUUUGAUGUACGAACAUGGUAUGAUAGAUAGAUGCAGUGUAUUCUAGACACAGAAAGCCAUGUCAUAUGCACAUGUAUAACGUAUAAACUCAGCAGGUGCAAUUUAAUCAAAAUAGAAGAAAUACAGGCUAGAAAACAUAUGCAACAUGAAACCAAUUAUCACACUGUCAACUUAGAGCAAGCACCUGCGAUGGUGGAGUACGAGAGAUGAACUCAUCCUGUAGACUUGGGACUUCAACUUCAUUAGCAGUAGCAGUGGAAAAUCUAGAGAGUCUCUGUUUGCGUCGGUGCGGAGGACCACCAACAUCCCCUAACUUACUCUUUUCCUUCCUAUUUUCUGAUAUUGCCUUAUGAAGUCAAAACCACAAGAAGAUGAAUAAAAUUAGCUCUGCAUAACUGGUUGAUGCAUGAUACAGACGAACACUACUUUGAUGUAAGGCAAGCGCAGGAUAGGAGGAUGGAAUAUAUACAAAAAAAGACAGCGUUUCAUAUUCACACGUACCAUAGGAGGAUGGAAUAUGUAUGAAAAAACAGUAAGCGGAAGGCAUUUCAACAAAAUUAGAAGAAAUGAAAGCUAGGCACCAUAUGAACAUGCAACCAAUAUCACUCUAUCAUGUAAAAAGUGUCUCGUCGUAAGUGCCAUUUCAAGAAAUUAGAAGCAGUACAAGCUAGAAGACAAUGCAAGAUGCAACCUACAUCACAGUCCCAAGUUAAAUGUGUCUUAUGGGUAAGUGAUCGUUGCAGGUAUAAGUUGUAAGCUACGCAGAUGCAAUUCAACAUAAUCAGAAGCAAUACAAACUAGACAUCAUACGGAAAACGCAAUCACGUAUAACAGUUCCAAGUAAGAGCAAGCACCUGUGAUGGUGGAGUAGGGGAGGUGUGCUCAUCGUGUACACGUAUGUUCUAGAAACAGGAACACGUGUCAUAUUCACAGGUAUUAUGUGUAAAGUAAGCAGAUGCAAUUCAAGUUAGAAGCAAUACAAGCUAGACAUCAUACGCAACAUGCAACCACAUAUAAUAGUGUCAAGUUAGAGCAAGCACCUGUGAUGGUGGAGUAGGGGAGAUGUGCUCAUCAUCUACACAACUACGUUGACUGUCCAGCCUUGUGUUGUCUUGCGAAUCUUGUUGGGAGGAUGGCGGAGUAGAAUCUGUAGAGACCCCCUGUUUGAGUUGCUCCGAAGGACCACCAUCAUCCACUGCCGAACUAAUUUCCUUCAGCUGUAAUGAUUUUGCAUUGUGAAGUCAAACCGAUAAGAAAAAGGAAUAAAAUUCGCUCUUCAGAACUCAUUCAUGCAUGAUACUGACGAACACUACUCGGAUGAAAGGCAAACACAUGAUGCGAGGAUGGAAUAUGUAUGAAAAACAGGAUGGUGUGACAUAUUUACACCUAUGAUGUGGUAACUAAGCAGAAGGCAUUUCAACAAAUUAGAAGCACUGCAAGCUAGACACCAUAUGAAAGAUGCAACCAAUAUCACUCUGCCAAGUUCAAACUGUAUGGCGUUUCAACAAAUUAGAAGCAGUACAUGCUAGAAAUCAUAUGCAAGACACAACCAAUAUCACAGUGGCGACUUAAAGGUGCCUUAUCAUAAGUGACUGAUGCGGGAUAUGCAAGAAUAGUAGUCUGAUGUAGAAACAGGAACACAUGUCAUAUUCACAGGCAAUAUGUGUAAAGUAAGCAGAUGCAAUUCAACAAAGUUAGAAGCAAUACAAGCUAGACAUCAUACGCAACAUGCAACAACAUAUAAUAGUGCCAAGUUAGAGCAAGCACCUGUGAUGGUGGAGUAGGGGAGAUGUGCUCAUCAUCUACACAGCUACGUUGACUUUCUAGCCUUGCGUUGUCUUGCGAAUCUUGUUGGGAGGAUGGCGGAGUAGAAUCUGUAGAGAACCUCCGUUUCAGUUGCUCGGAAGGACCACCAUCAUCCAAUGCCUUGCCAAUUUCCUUCAGCUUUAUUGAUUUUUAAUUGUGAGGUCAUACCGACAAGAAAAAGGAAUAUCAUUCGCUCUUCAGAACUCAUUCAUGCAUGAUACUGACGAACACUACUCUGAUGAAAGGCAAAGUCAUGAUACGAGGAUGGAAUAUGUACGAAAAAAUGGACGGCUUGACAUAUUCACACCUAUGAUGUGGUAACUAAGCAGAAGGCACUUUAACAAAUUAGAAACACUGCAAGACACCAUAUGGAAGGUGCAAUCAAUAUCACUCUGCCAAGUUAAAACUGUCUCGUCAUAGGUGGCGUUCAUCAAACUAGAAGCAAUACAUGCUAGAAAUCAUAUUCAAGACGCAAACCAAUAUCACACUGCCAACUUAAAGGUGUCCCAUCAUAAGUGACUGAUGCAGGAUACACAAGAAGAGUAGUUUCAUGUAAGAACAUGGUGUGAUAGACAGAUAUAGUAUGUACCAAAAAUAGGAAAGCGUGUCAUAUUCACAUGUAUCAUGUGUAAGCUAAGCAGAUGCAGUUUACACUAAUUAGGAGCAAUACGAGCUAGACACCAUAUGCAACAUGCAACCAGAUAUCACACUGCCAAGUUAGAGCAAGCACCUUGGAUGGUGGAGUAGGGGAGCGGAGACUUGGACCUUGUAAUGCACUAUCAAUACAAGGAGAAUCGGUACAGAUGCUCCGUUUACGUUGCUGCAGAGGACCACCAUCAUUGCCUUCCUUACUCUUUCUUGAUUUUGCCUUGUCAAGUCAAACCCACAAGAAAAAGGAAUAAAAUUUGCUCUUCAGAACUCAUUGAUGCAUGAUACUGACGAACACUACUUUCAUGUAAGGCAGCCGCAUGAUAGGAGGAUGGAAUAUGUAUGAAAAACAGGACGGCGUGACAUAUUGACAUGUAUGAUGUAUAAAGUGUAAACUAAGCACAAGGUGCUUGAACUUGUUAGAAUCGAUGCAAGCUAGAAACCAUAUGAAAGAUGAAACCAUUAUCACUCUGCCAAAUUAAAAGGGUGCCCUAAUAAAUGUAUUUGACCAAAUUAGAAGCAAUACAUGGCAACAGGCUAGAAAUAAUAUGCAAUAUGCAACGAAUAAAGGUGACUCAUCGUAAGUGAUUGAUGCAGGAUACAGAAGAGAGGUAGUUUCAUGUAAGAACAAGGUUAACACAUAGAUGUAGUGUGUACCAAAAAUAGGAAGCCAUGUCAUAUUCACAGGUAUAGUGUGUAAACUAAGCAGAUGCAAUUUACCCUAAUUAGAAGCAUUACAAGCUAGACACCGUAUGCAACAUGCAACCACAUAUCACACUGCGAAGUUAGAGCAAGCACCUGUGAUGGUGGUGUUGGGGAAGUGCGGUCUUCAAGUACAGAGCUAUGUUCAAUAUCUUCAUUUAGGCUUGUUGUUUCUUGAGAAUCAUGUGGAGAGGAUGAAAUUGCAUUCUUUAUAAGAGUAUUGCGUCUCAUAUUAACCCACGCGCGUGACUGUCUCAUCAUAAGCAAUAGACGCAGGAUACACAAGAACAAUAGUUUGAUGUAAGAACAUGGUGUGAUAGGCAGAUGUAGUAUGUACCAAAAACAGGAAGGCUUGUCAUAUUCACAUGUAUAAUGUGUAAGCUAAGGAGAUGCAAUUUAACAAAUUAGGAGCAUUGAUGAGGGAUACACAAGAAAAGUAGUUUGAUGUAAGAACAUGGUUAAUCGAAAGACGUAGUAUGUACCAAAAACAAGAAGGCAUGUCAUAUUCACAGGUAUAAUGUGUUAACUAAGCAGAUGCAAUUUACCCUAAUUAGAAGCAUUACAAGGUAGACACCAUAUGCAACAUGCAACCACAUAUCACACUGCCAAGUAAGAGCAAGCACCUGCGAUGGUGGUAUGGGGGAAUUGCGGUGAUCAACUAGAGAGCUACGUUGACUAUCUUCAUUUAGCCUUGCUGUUUCUUGAGAAUCAUGUGGGGAGGAUGACACUGCACUCUUUAAACGAGUAGGGCGUCUCACAGUAACCCACUCGGGUGAUUGUCUCAUCAUAAGUGAUUGACGAGGGAUACAAAAGAGCAUUAGUUUGAUGUACGAACAUGGUUAAUAGACAUAUGUAGUAUGUAUCAAAAACAGGAAGGCAUGUCAUUAUCAAAGGUAUAAUGUGUAAAGUAAGCAGAUGCAAUUUAACCAAAUUGGAAGCAAUACAAGCUAGACACCAUAUGCAACAUGCAACCACAUUUGACAGCGCGAAGUUAAAGCAAGCACCUGGGAUGGUUGUGUGUGGCAAUUGAGAUCAUCAACUGCAGAGCUACGUUUACUGUCUCCAACUGCUGACACUGCACCCAUUAGAGCGCUGAAACGCUUAGUGCUUAUCUUUGAAUUACACUGGAGCGACUUCUGUCUUUCUUUUUUGCAUUCAUCAACACUGCGUCAGAGUCUGAAAUACCCAUGCAUAAAAAAACAAUAGUGUGAGCAUGGGUGAAGUGUGUGCACAAUUAGUACAGUGUAAAGGUAGCAGAUAGCAGGUCAGUGAGAAAUAAAUGACGGGAGACAUAUGAUAGCUCUACAACAUGCAUGGCACACUAAAUUACUACAGGAUUCUAUGAAAAUAACAGUCGACUGAAAGCAAAUAGGCCAGUCCAUUUUUUCUGCACCGUCCGAUGUACAAAGAACGGGCAGAUCGCCUUCAUCUACCUCCAGCCAGUCAGUGUUGACGAUCUUCCUUGAAACGCCAGCGACCACCGGCCCAGUAUUACUCCCCUGCCUGUGCCCUCCCCUCGACCUCACCGCACCGCCGUGCUUGGCACCGCCCCCCGGCCAUCCAUUCAAGCCCCGCCGACCUCCAGAUCGGGCGCAAGCAGCUCCUGCGCCCCACACCCCUAUGAUAGACACCGAUGCACCGCUUCCCUGGGGAACAGACGGACUAGGUGCUCCGCGCGCCUAAGCGGGUGCUGCUUCUUUUAAUUGCGGUUCGACUGACCCUGAAUUGAAAUCCAGGUGGGCUACUGACCUCUAGCAAAGGUGAAAUAGUAAAAGGGAGGAAACCUUGUGCAUUUAGUAUCACGAAGAAGAUGCAGUAAGAAGCGCUCAACUAGUUUCUUUCGUGGGAUGAAUACGGUGUGAGCGGAGACGUAAGAUUUGCACGAAUAAGGGAAGAGGAGUACCUCUUUCUGCUGGCAGUGCUGUGUCCUCCUUCUGUUUUUCCGACGAUCUUCUUGUUGUUCGCCGGAAACCAGAAGUUGUGGAGGACGGUGCAACCUUGGACGAACCCAUGGCCAAGUUGUUGAGUGUGGUGCGGUGGCCGUCUGUCGGCGGCGGGGAAGCAGAUCCGAGGCGGCGGACGACGGCGUAGCGGGAACAGCUCCGGUGCGGUGGACGGUUGCGACAGUGGAGCCGCAGCAGUGAGGCGCAAGACGGCGUGGUCGAAGUGGUUCUGUUACGGCGCACGUCGGCGUCGGCGUCGUGGAGGCAGCUCUGCCUCAGCUUCAGCUGCUAUGUCCUUGAGGGCGUUGCAGUUGCGGUUGCGUUGGACGACGACGUCGGGGUACCGGCUCCGGCGUGAUGGAGGAGGGCGGCGGUGGAUUGGCCGCUAUGGGGUGGAGGAUGGAGGAGGCUGGGGUUUCGCGGCUGGUGGAGAUGGCGUUUUCACGCCCACGGAGUAUGAAUGGGGAAACGGAGGGAGGCGGGGAACUAAGGGGGAACAAUGUUUCGGUUUGAGACGCGCUUGUUUGAAAUUUGGGGAAAGUUACAAACUUUGCCCCCAUCUAAAAUUUCGGACAUAUUGCGGGUUGGGGGUAGGACAGUCAUGUCAGCUAUCCCAAAUGUGCGCGGGAUAGAUUUCGGCCGAGCGCAUGGGUAGGCGCCCACGGCGUAUGGAUGCUUCUCGGAGGCGGUUGAGACUGAUGUCUUGGUGAAGUUACAAACCUACCCCGGUUUAGACCUUUGGACAUCGGGCCGAUAGGCUACACGGGCCAGAGUCAGGACAGUAAUUUCCUACCACCAAAACAUUAGUCUCGCGCGGUUUCGGGUGACCAGAGACCUAUUUGGCGCUUCGUUCAAUAUUUGGGAGCAGAAGCAUUAACGUUUUCGGUUCUCUUGAAUUGAACUUUCAGGAUUUGUCAAACUUCACAAAUCUUUACUCUUGAAAAUCCUAAAGCUACAAUUAUUUUGGAAUGGAGGGGGUACAUUUGAAUAUACAUUGUACACGAGUAUAUAUUAAAAAUAUGCAACUUACCUCAGUUCAUGCAUGGUUCCAGAUAUAAUCUCCUUGGUUGCAAAAAAAAGUUAGAUAUGCGUAUGAAUAUAUAUAGCAUGUUCAAACUCACAACAAAGAUUGAUGCCCCCUUUUACAUCUGAUUUACAAAUGCCAUUAUCUCGGGUUCAAAUAGAUGAAUGCACUUCCUAUGAAUUCGAAUCUUCGAAACCCCCUUUAUGUUGAAUUCGACAUGUAUUCUAUUUUGUAGCUAGCAAUUUGGAAUGUAUCCAUGCAAGUAACAAAUGUAUAAAGUGCUUCACACUAACAACAUGGAGUGCACUAAUUAAUGUUUAUAUAUGAAUUGCAAAAGCAUCCAUUGCCUGUAUUUCAAACCACUCUCACUCUAUGGAUCGAUAAUAUGAAAUAAACACAUGCACAUGCUAGAAUUCAAUAGAGUAUGGGUGUCUGAUAGACCGAUUUUCACCCAUACGCAAUUUGCAAAAUUCAUGAUCUCAUCCAAAAAUAAUAAUGCCAUUUAUAUUUUAAUUUAAUGCGUAGAACCGCCUUUUACACAUAGAUGCACUAUGCCUCGCCCCGUUCUCACAAACGCGUUAUAUAUCUCUCUAUCUAACGCAUAAGUGCACACACUUUAUAUGCAUCGGCAUUUCUCCUUCACACAUGCUCACAAUCUCUCUCAGGGUGUCGGGGUGUCUCACGCACAUGCUCUCUCUGUUUCUCUCUCUCUUUCUGACUACUAUGUAUCACUCUUUUCACUAAUCUCAGUUGGAAAACACUAUUUCUCUCACAUGCAUAUAUACACAUGCAUGGUCUCUACUAGCCCUCUAUACGCACAUAUAUGUGCCUACGUGUCUCCCGCACGCACAUUAUCUUUAGGCCUCUCUCGCACACAUUGCCCCCCCGACACACCUCUCUCUUAGUAGUUGGCAGAUAUGAUUUCAUCAUAUCAUUCGGUAGGAUAUCCCUGGCUGUUUGGCUGGAUGGUAAUACGAGGCAAAGUCUUACCCUAGUUCGGAUCAGACCCUUGCAGUUGAAGAAAGAGCCUACUCGUGGUACUGUAUAUUAGUGAUAGGGGUGUGUACAAAGUACACGUGAAUACCAGGCAUUGUGCGUGUGUGUAUACUAUCGACGAACUAGCCCCCAAGCUUGUAUAACAUACUAAGGGCCUAGAGUUACAAAUCAUAUAUAGUCGGCUUAUCACCAGUGGGGAUAGAGUCCUCCGCGACUCUGGUAGCUUCGUGUUGUACGCCGAGUCAUCCACAUGGGUCUUCGUAUAACACGUCUCGGUCGAACCUAUAUGUGGCGCAGGAUGGAACCGACCCAUGAGUCUUCAUGUUGACCCACCACAACUAGAAAUGAUGUGCCGACCACACCACACACGCAAUCGGCCACUAAGAAAAUAAGCAUAUACAAUAGUACAACGGUAUCUAGUUCAUGAUACGUCUCCAUAUUUUGUUGAUGACACUGACGGACUUUGCAUUUGAUGCGUGCUCCGUAUUUUUUUGACGACACUUACAGUCAUUGUAUUUGAAGCGAAAGCACGAUAUGGUCACUGGACUUCAGAAUAAGCUCAUCACGGUCACCACAUACAUUUUGUCGUGCUAACCAACAUGUGGUUGGAUGGUUAGAGGACAGUGGUUUCUCGAGCCCACCAAGGUUAAAGUCCCGGUGCUCGCAUUUAUCUUGUGUUAAUUUCAGUAUUUUCCGGCAAUGUACGUUCAGUGGGAGGAGACGUUCCACUCGACUACGAGGCACCUAUGGUGACUUCGUAAAAUCUCAAGAUCAUAUAUGCUGGCCCACUCUCUCGAAGGAGCUCAUAGGGGUAGGGUUCGCGUGUGUGCGCUUAUAGCGGUGAGUGCUUGCGUGUAUAUAUGAGCCCUUGCGUCUGUACCGUGUUAAACAAAUACAUAUCAUGAUUAUACGGUCACUGGCUCACCCGUACAACUCGUAUUUUGUUGAUGACACAAUCAAUUGACCAGUCAAACGUUCCACGUGGCGCAACUAGUGUUGCACCAUCGGGGCGCGUAACCGUGGGGCCCACCUGUCAGCCCGUAUAUGAAAGAAAGAAAUGGUAGUUUGAGUCUGUACUGUGUUAAUAAAAUAGGAGUACAUUUUAGGGUGAUCAUACGGUCACUGGCUCACCAUACAGCUCCGUAAUUUGUUGAUAACACGAUCAAUUGACCAGUCAAACGGUCCACAUUCAGCAGCGCACAUUACCAUAGGGCCCACCCGUCAGCGCGUAUAUGAAGGACAUAAAUGGUAAUAAAUUAGUGGUCGGUGGGUAUUCGAAGUCGUGAGACCUCUGGUUGGCAGUCACCGGCGGUUGGGGGGGGCGUUCAUUGGGCGGUGGGGUGGGGAUCCCUGGAGAAAAAGCUCGGUNNNNNNNNNNNNNNNNNNNNNNNNNNNNNNNNNNNNNNNNNNNNNNNNNNNNNNNNNNNNNNNNNNNNNNNNNNNNNNNNNNNNNNNNNNNNNNNNNNNNNNNNNNNNNNNNNNNNNNNNNNNNNNNNNNNNNNNNNNNNNNNNNNNNNNNNNNNNNNNNNNNNNNNNNNNNNNNNNNNNNNNNNNNNNNNNNNNNNNNNNNNNNNNNNNNNNNNNNNNNNNNNNNNNNNNNNNNNNNNNNNNNNNNNNNNNNNNNNNNNNNNNNNNNNNNNNNNNNNNNNNNNNNNNNNNNNNNNNNNNNNNNNNNNNNNNNNNNNNNNNNNNNNNNNNNNNNNNNNNNNNNNNNNNNNNNNNNNNNNNNNNNNNNNNNNNNNNNNNNNNNNNNNNNNGGUGCGGCGGCGGACCGGCGGUGGGGAGUGGUUUCGGGGAGGGCGGGCCGGCCGCGGGCGGCGGGGGCUGGCAGUUCGGUCGGUGGUGGCUGGCGGCUCAGGGGGGUGGAGUUUGAUGAUAAACUGGAGGCCCUUGAUUUCGUAUCCAACGGCUGGAAAAUCUAAUGACCAGAGAUGAAAAAGUCAGUCGACUGACGUGUAGCCUCACCCCGCACGUACACAUGCAUGCACGCAAGACACGCACGCAUGUAGGCAUGCAACACUGACACGUACACACGCACGCGUGCUGGCGUGCAACACUGACACGUACACAUGCACUCACGAACACACGCAUGUACGCACCCAUGCAUCCAACACUGAAACGUACCCUUGCACGCACGCAACACUCGCACGCCUGAAUGCACACAGCACACGACGCAAGACACACGCUCAACCUAUACGUGCAUGCACCCUUUGUUAAGGACAUGGAUUGUUAUGGGUAUUAAUCAAUCUUAUCUGUGAUAAGCAGAACAUUGAUGUUUGCAGCUGUCUUUAUGAAUCACAACGUAUCGAACGGGCUAUCAACAUAGUAGGCUUAUCUACAUGAAAAAGAUGACGUCACACUCAAUGAACAAUCAUCGGUUUAUGAAAUGCCCGCUUCUGACCGCCCUGGCCCACCAAAGGUUCCUCUGCUGUGCGCUGCCUGCGUUGGGUCACUGACAUGCAAGCCAUGCACCCAAAGAGCCCACAUGUCAGUGGAAGAAUGGCGCGGUGUCCUAGGUCAGAGUCGAGGGCGCCACUCGCGGCACGCCCGGCUGAACACGCCUCCGUGCCGCAUUCAAACGCCUCCAUGGAACCUGCCUGUGUGGAAGCUGAGAAACCCACUCUGGACACACGUCUGCUCAUGACCGGGCCGGCGUUAAAUGCAACGCCAGCCGAGCUCCUCCCAUCCGCCGUCUAUUUGAUCUCCUAUUUAAACGAGGCCAAACGCCGACCAAGAAUCACACACCUCCGCCGCUCCCCUAUCUCCUCCACCAUUUUGUCCACUCUUACAAUGGCUUACGAAGAGUAGUUAUUCCGCAUCCAAGCCGGCUGGGUAGCCCGCCGGAUACGAGCUCUGCAGCUCGCUGAUCCACCUCCCUCCCCUCGCCCAACGGAGCUAGUUGCCGCCCCAAGCCGGCGCGCGGUUCAGCAACUCGCCGCUCCAGGCCAGCUCGACGAGGAGCGGCGCACGGGCGUCGUUGCUGCCGUCCACGCCGCCACCUCGUACCGCGUCUCCCGUUUCUGUGGCCGAGACUCCCAUGCCGGCGGCCGUGCCAUGCAAGCAGCGACAGAAGCCGGGUACGCGGAGAGCGACGAGUCGGUGGACAGCGCCUCCGCGUCCGCCGCCAUCAUCGAGGAGAAGUAGAACACGGGAGGCCGCCGCCGCUUGGGUCCCAUGAAGGCCACCGCGGAGGCGACGCCGGCGUACACAGCAGGUGUCUUGCCGGAUCCUUUCACUACAAAAAAAAUACACUUCCGUGAUGAUACGUGUUUGUCACAGUAGGUCGCGUUUUUUGUCAUGCAUGUACAUCCAUGACAAAUUUAUGACAGAAUCAAGAUAGUCAUACCUGUGCUGUCGUAGAAGUGUUCCAUGACAUUACCAAAAUUAUCAUCACGGAAGUGUCCACUUCCAUGACGAUAAAUCGCGCGUCACAGAAGUGCUUUCGUCAAGGGUGACCGACACGUGGCAUCCACCGUAACGGAACGCCGUUAAGCUAUCGGGUCGGGUUUUGGAUCCGAUAACCCGUUAAUAGCCCCGACCAAUGGGGAUUUUCCACGUGUAAAAUCAUCAUUGGCUGGAGGAAACACGUGUCGGCUCAUCGCUGGGACAGAUGUCAUCCACUCAUUGGACAGAAGGCGCCUAUGAUACGUCGACACGUGGCAUGGCCCAACAGAGGCCCAUUCCUGUGAAAAGGCCGUCCCGUUUGACUUGGUCAAAAGGUGGCGGGCCGGCCCAUGGAAAGCCCGUUAAUGGCCUGUUCGCAUAUAGCCCAUUUACAGCCCGCUAACCCAAGGCCCGUUACGCCCUAUUCGAAUUAGGCCCAGUAGCGUCAUCUGGGCCAUCCAAUAUGAUUCCAGCCCGUUUUCACUUCUGGCCCAUGUAUGGCCCAUGACGUCUUUCGGCCCAUAUGAGGCCCUAUGUAACUCUUGGCCUAUAAACGGCCCGUGGUGAAACUGGCCCGUAAUGAACAGUGUAUCACUUUACACCCAUUAACGGCCCGUGGUGAAACUGGCCCGUAAAGAACAGUGUAUCACUUUAUACCCAUUAACGGCCCGUUAUUCCGUUGGGCCGUUUCCAGCCCAUGUUAUCUUUCGGCCUUCUCAGAGCCCAGUUAUUCUUGGGCUAUUUUCCAGCAUUCGUUUACUUACGGCCCGUUACUGUCAUUUUCUGCUUGUGGGCCAAAUUCAGCCCGUGGUUACAGUCGGCCCGUUUGUGGUCCGUUAAUACGUUGGGCCGUUUUCAUUGCGUCAUCAAAUACGGCCUAUUAACGAUGGCCCGUUAUGGUCGGCCCAUGAACGGACGAUUCCAACUCUAGCCCAUUUACGGCCAGAAUGCGGUCUGUUUGGCCCAUGUUUGGCCAAUCGAUCAUACGGCCCGUAUAAGGCCCAUUGAUGAUACGGCCCGUAGAAGGCCCAUUGUUUCUACGGCCCGUAGAAGGCCCACUAUUUCUACGGCCCAUAGAAGGCCCACUGUUUCUACAGCCCGUAGAAGGCCCACUGUUUCUACGGCCCGUAGGAGGCCCAGUGUCACUACAGUAAAUAUUAGCCCAUGGUUAUUGUGGCCUAGUUUUAAAAAAUAGGUUAUUGCAGCCACUAGCAAACCGCAGAAAAAGAACUGCACCGACUACAAGCAAACAAAUAAACAAGACAACAAGGAAAUAAAUAAGCAAGCAACUUACACUAGGCUAUCAUGGCUAUUACACAUAUUACAUCCACUGGGCAUCAAAGUUCGCCACCAGUGCAAAUAUAGGGAACACAACAGCAUAUAAACGCCGCAGCAAAACAAGUCCAGAACUGAAACCACUUCAGAAGAGCUCAAGAAAAAAUAUCCUGGGUACCCAUAAUGCUGGCAAGAUGCUUAGCAAGCUUAUUAACUUUCUCUUGUUUGGCGCUUAAGUCCUCCAGCGCUUGCUGUUGCACCAGAAAGUAUGCAUCUGAAUUCUGCAGGGACUUCCUCAGUCCUUCGGCUUCCUGUCGCAUAACAUCUGAUCGAUGUCUUUCAACUUGAAGUUGAGACUCAAGAAGCCGAACUGAUUCAGGCAACGAGUUCGAAGAGCUGGUGCCAGCAGUGGUAGCCAGUUGUAGCGACCAGACCUCAAAUGGUCUGUGCUGCUGUGCACCAGUGUCAUCCCUGGAUCCGUAAUGCUGACACGCACAGUAAAAAUGGAGGAUUUAUAACAGAGUAGCAAUCACACACUUAUUACAUCGAAUAUCUCCAAAGAGAUUAAGUAUGAAAAUAUGGCUUAAGGCCAUCUAAAAACGAUAACAGCGGAAGACUUGGAAGAUAAGUGAGUCCAUCAACUCCAGCGGCAUCACUGAGUAUAAGACCACGACCUAAGGCACCUUACUCGUCGUCUGAAAAGUCUGCAACAUGAAACGUUGCAGCCCGAAAAUAGGUCAGCACAUAGAAUAUGCUGGCAAAGUAACACAUAGAGAGUAAUGAACAAUAAUAAUGCUAUACUACAUGCAUAUAUGGCUGGUGGAAAGCUCUAUGGUUACAUUUUAUGCGAAAAGCCAAUUAUUCCCUACUUCAAAGGAAUAAAUUUUAUUUAACUAUCAUGGUGGUUGUGAAACAUUGAGAUGGUUGACAGCAUCUCAAUCCCAAUUAAGAGUCAUCAAUAACCCCACAAAAUUAAUUAAAAGUAACAUGGUGAUGAGAUUCAAACGAUAAUCCAGGUACUAGAUACUCAAGUUGUCCAUAACCGGGGACACGGCGAACCAUGAUUAGUUUGUACACUCUGCAGAGUUUUGUGCACCUUUCCCCACAAGACUCGAUCGCCUCCGCGUGAUUCUCGCACUGCAUGAUGUUUGAGAAACGGAUGACCGAGACACAGUCUUUCAGGAACAAUCACUCUUUACUCUGGGUGGACCGGUACACCUACUUUCCCCUACAUCUGCUAGCCCACCUCUUCAAGAGAUCUUGUAACCUACUCAACUAUGCUAGAGCCCAUAAUAGCUUGUGGCUGCACACGGAAGUUUCUAGCAUGAAUAAUCUUAUGAUCCCUUUGAGCCUGGGUGGCGGUCCUUAUACAAACAGACAACACUGGAUUCUCGAGGUGCCUCAGUCCACCCAGAUGUGAGUUUUAGUUGCCACCUUAGGUAAACCAUUAUUAUCAAUCUCACAUCUGUCAUGAAUAUCUCUCAAACCCAAUCCACGUCUACGAGCAUAGCAUGGCAAUAUAAUAGCAACGUAGAGGUAACUCCCAAGGGUUUGAUAAGAAAACAGGUAAUAGGUACUACCUCAACUACUUCCUAAUACCCACAAUUUAAUUAGAUCCUAGUCAUGCAAUGUUUGAGGAAUAGAUCUAAUGCAAUAAAAACUGGGUAUGGAAGGUAUAUGAUCAAAGUGUUACUUGCCUUGCUGAUGAUCCGCGAAACCUAGCGAUUCGAAGUAACAAACGGCACACUCCAGGUACUCUAUCGCAAACAAACAAGCAAACAAUAAGUACUCAUCUAAUGCACAGGUAAAACUCGAAUGAAAGAUCCAACCAGAAAGUUCAACUUAAGAACUCCGAUUUGCAAAAAGAAUCAACUCGAACGAAGCAAUGAAAGUCAAACGGCGAAAGAAACAAGCUUCGUUUACUAAUCUGGAUCUAGGUCAAAUUUUACAGUAGCAAAAACUUGUUUGAGUAGGUUAAACGGAAAGAGAAUUUCGAGACGAAACUCUAGGCGCUUGAAUCGCCUGAUUCCGAUAAACGAGCGAAAAGUUAAACAGAAACGAAGAUUCGAUCAGAAAUCGAAUCUGAGAUAAUCGCGGAAAAAUCCGACGAAAAAGAAAAACGGACGAACGGUUAAAGAACGGACGUUCGUUAACAGAGAAAAACCGACGAACGCGUUCGUUAAAACGAACGGUUCGGUGAACGUUCACAAAAUAACAAAACCGAAAAAAAAC
rnacentral:lncRNA from 1 species